UGGGGAAUUUUGGACAAUGGGCGAAAGCCUGAUCCAGCAAUGCCGCGUGUGUGAAGAAGGCCUUCGGGUUGUAAAGCACUUUUGUCCGGAGAGAAAUCCUUGGCUCUAAUACAGUCGGGGGAUGACGGUACCGGAAGAAUAAGCACCGGCUAACUACGUGCCAGCAGCCGCGGUAAUACGUAGGGUGCAAGCGUUAAUCGGAAUUACUGGGCGUAAAGCGUGCGCAGGCGGUUUGCUAAGACCGAUGUGAAAUCCCCGGGCUCAACCUGGGAACUGCAUUGGUGACUGGCAGGCUAGAGUAUGGCAGAGGGGGGUAGAAUUCCCACGUGUAGCAGUGAAAUGCGUAGAGAUGUGGAGGAAUACCGAUGGCGAAGGCAGCCCCCUGGGCCAAUACUGACGCUCAUGCACGAAAGCGUGGGGAGCAAACAGGAUUAGAUACCCUGGUAGUCCACGCCCUAAACGAUGUCAACUAGUUGUUGGGGAUUCAUUUCCCUUAGUAACGUAGCUAACGCGUGAAGUUGACCGCCUGGGAGUACGGUCGCAAGAUUAAAACUCAAAGGAAUUGACGGGGUCAUAGCUGUUUCCU
rnacentral:rRNA from 1 species